GACGAACGCUGGCGGCGUGCUUAACACAUGCAAGUCGAACGGAAAGGCCCUGCUUUUGUGGGGUGCUCGAGUGGCGAACGGGUGAGUAACACGUGAGUAACCUGCCCUUGACUUUGGGAUAACUUCAGGAAACUGGGGCUAAUACCGGAUAGGAGCUCCUGCUGCAUGGUGGGGGUUGGAAAGUUUCGGCGGUUGGGGAUGGACUCGCGGCUUAUCAGCUUGUUGGUGGGGUAGUGGCUUACCAAGGCUUUGACGGGUAGCCGGCCUGAGAGGGUGACCGGCCUAAUUGGGACUGGGAUAAGGCCCAGGCUCCUACGGGAGGCAGCAGGGGGGAAUAUUGCAAAAUGGGCGGAAGCCUGAUGCAGGAACGCCGCGUGCGGGAUGACGGCCUUCGGGUUGUAAACCGCUUUCGCCUGUGACGAAGCGUGAGUGACGGUAAUGGGUAAAGAAGCACCGGCUAACUACGUG
rnacentral:rRNA from 1 species